rnacentral:ncRNA from 1 species
CCUUCUAGAUCAUUGACCCAUAACCCAUAACCCUUCUAAAGGCGCAAUGUAAUUUAAUCCCAUUGCUCUGCAUGUCAAAGUGAAUAAAUUCAACCAAGCACGGGUAAACGAUGAGAGUAACUAUGACUAUCUUAAUGCAGCCGGAUGCCUCAUCAUCUAAUUAGUGACAUACAUGAAUGGAUCAAUAAUGAGAUUCCCCACUGUCCCUAGCUACUAUAUUAUAGAGAAACCACAUCCAAGGGGAUGGGAUUGGAAGAAUUAGCGGGGAAAGAACACCCUCAUGUUGAGCUUGACUCUAUUCCUAACCCAUUCAUAGU